rnacentral:rRNA from 1 species
CAGUCGCCGCGGGAAUACGUAGGUGGCAAGCGUUGUCCGGAAUUAUUGGGCGUAAAGGGCUCGCAGGCGGUUUCUUAAGUCUGAUGUGAAAGCCCCCGGCUCAACCGGGGAGGGUCAUUGGAAACUGGGAAACUUGAGUGCAGAAGAGGAGAGUGGAAUUCCACGUGUAGCGGUGAAAUGCGUAGAGAUGUGGAGGAACACCAGUGGCGAAGGCGACUCUCUGGUCUGUAACUGACGCUGAGGAGCAAAAGCGUGGGGAGCGAACAGGAUUAGAUACCCCGGUAGUCCCUGUCUCUUAUAC